GGAGUUAGCCGGUGCUUCUUCUGCGAGUAACGUCACAGAUGUAAGGUAUUAACUUACACCCUUUCCUCCUCGCUGAAAGUGCUUUACAACCCGAAGGCCUUCUUCACACACGCGGCAUGGCUGCAUCAGGGUUUCCCCCAUUGUGCAAUAUUCCCCACUGCUGCCUCCCGUAGGAGUCUGGGCCGUGUCUCAGUCCCAGUGUGGCUGAUCAUCCUAUCAGACCAGCUAGGGAUCGUCGCCUAGGUGAGCCUUUACCUCACCUACUAGCUAAUCCCACCUGGGCUUAUCCAUCAGCGCAAGGCCCGAAGGUCCCCUGCUUUCCCCCGUAGGGCGUAUGCGGUAUUAGCAGUCGUUUCCAACUGUUAUCCCCCACAAAUGGGCAAAUUCCCAGGCAUUACUCACCCGUCCGCCGCUCGUCAUCUUCAAAAGCAAGCUUUUGAAAUGUUACCGCUCGACUUGCAUGUGUUAGGCCUGCCGCCAGCGUUCAAUCUGAGCCAUAAUCAAACUCUGA
rnacentral:rRNA from 1 species